rnacentral:lncRNA from 1 species
UUUUGAUGUUCUUCCUAAAGUCGUAUGAGAGCAAUUCAAAUCAGAGCAAUGUUUUGAUUGAUGGCAACAUAAUUUCACCAGCUUCCCAAUGCUUUAGAGGCAGCAUUGAGCUACAGGUACAUGGAGAAUGUGGGUAAAGGCCCAGGAGCUUCCUCUCAGAAACCCACCUGCCAGUUUGGCCAUCUGUUCCGGAAAUUGCAGUCAGCACUCACUCAGUCUGCGACAAUCCCCAGUCCUGCACAUCAGAGCCAUCCUCUGGGGCACCUAUUCUCUGGACUAGUGCUGGGGUUUGUGCCAGGAGAGAGGAAGUGUGGGAGGAAGUACAGGAUACCGAGGGGAUCCAGAAACCUGACACCAGACCUGGAAGCAGUUUGCUGAGAAAAUAAUUCUUGCGGGAAGUGAUGUGGGAAGUAGAUAACAAUGCAUGUGCACGUGUGUUCACGCUUAUAUAUGUGUGUUGGUGGCCAGGAGGCUUGGGAAGUGGGUUGAGACUAAGCAGUGUGAACAAUAGGCAGUUGAAAAGAGAUGGCAUUGUGCAUUUGAAAAAGAGGAAAAAGUUUGGUUUGGCUCAAGCUCAGAGUCUGAAUUACAAACUAAAGAGAGAAGAAAUGAAAGAGGUAGAAAAGACAAUCAAUGGAAUUUAAGAGUAAGGAUUCAUCUUCUA